rnacentral:tRNA from 1 species
GGUUUGUGGCUCAGUGGUAGAGCACUCCCUUAGCAUGGGUGGGGCACUGGGUUGGAUUCUCAGCACCA